rnacentral:rRNA from 1 species
UACGGGGGGGGUAAGCGUUGUUCGGAAUUACUGGGCGUAAAGGGCGCGUAGGCGGCCACCGCAAGUCAGUUGUGAAAUCUCUGGGCUUAACCCAGAAAGGUCAACUGAUACUGCGGGGCUAGAGUGCAGAAGGGGCAACUGGAAUUCUCGGUGUAGCGGUGAAAUGCGUAGAUAUCGAGAGGAACACCUGCGGCGAAGGCGGGUUGCUGGGCUGACACUGACGCUGAGGCGCGAAAGCUAGGGGAGCGAACGGG